GUGAGGAAUUUUCCGCAAUGGGCGAAAGCCUGACGGAGCAAUGCCGCGUGAAGGAUGAAGGCCUAUGGGUUGUAAACUUCUUUUCUUAGAGAAGAAUAUUGACGGUAUCUGAGGAAUAAGCAUCGGCUAACUCUGUGCAAGCAGCCGCGGUAAGACAGAGGAUGCAAGCGUUAUCCGGAAUGAUUGGGCGUACAGCGUCUGUAGGUGGCUUCAAAAGUCUCCUGUCAAAGAUAAGGGCUGAACCCUGGGCCGGCAGGGGAAACGCGGAGGCUAGAGUUUAGGAGAGGCAGAGGGAAUUCCCGGUGGAGCGGUGAAAUGCGUAGAGAUCUGGAGGAACACCAAAGGCGAAAGCACUCUGCUGGGCCACAACUGACACUGAGGGACGAAAGCGAGGGGAGCAAAAGGGAUUAGAAACCCCGGUAGUCC
rnacentral:rRNA from 1 species